ACCGUCAUUCUCCACCCUUUGUAGAUGAGAAGACUGAGGCGCAGCAAGGGCUGGCCGCGUCCCCAAGAUCCACAGCUACCAUUGAAGCCAGGCUGUGAAUCCCUGCAGCUGGGCUCCAGCAUCCUGCUCUGAGCCACUUAGCCUCACUGCUGUUCGCAUACUGGCUAAUUGGUGAGACACCAAAGAAAGCAGGAACGCACCUAUGAGUUAGAGUCCAGAGCGACCGGGUCCGUCUACGCUACCGCCGCACACCCCUCCCGCCCGCCUGGCUCGGUCCUGGGGGGACUCACGCGAAAAUCAAAGCCACCGACAACUUCACAACGACUAUGUGCACGCCCGGACACUCAAGAGGAGCAGAAAACUCACACAGAGCAAGGAAGCAACGUUUGUGACGAUUUUACUGGCCCUUCUGCCAUUUCUAGCUUUGCCCCUCCCCCCUCAACACAUCUUAUUCACAAUUUGCAUCGCACAUCAUUAUUUCCUGGGGAUCCAGAGGAAUGCUUUCCUUCUGAGAUCUUUUUCUUUCUUUCUUUCCUUUUUUAUUUUUUCUUUUUGGUUCAAUAUCCAAAGUUUAAAACAGAAGUCAGGAACCAGGAAGCAUA